rnacentral:rRNA from 1 species
UACGGGGGGAGCAAGCGUUGUUCGGAUUUACUGGGCGUAAAGGGCGCGUAGGCGGUCAGCACAAGUCAGUUGUGAAAUCUCCGAGCUUAACUCGGAAAGGUCAACUGAUACUGUGCGACUAGAGUGCGGAAGGGGCAACUGGAAUUCCUGGUGUAGCGGUGAAAUGCGCAGAUAUCAGGAGGAACACCAAUGGCGAAGGCAGCUCGCUGGAACGGUACUGACGCUGAGGCGCGAAAGCGUGGGGAGCAAACAGG